rnacentral:rRNA from 14 species
GUCGCUUUAAAAAGACCCGAAUUCAAACGAGCUAUCCACUUCCUGGUCGAAUCUGUUGCAUCCAAUAUGAGAAGGACCGAACCCGUGUUUGUGGCAAUAAACUGGGAUGAGAUGUGGAUAGGAGUGAAAGGCUUAUCAAGUUUGGGGUUAGCUGGUUCUCCACGAAAAGUGUGUUGGCACUAACAAUUGCUCAUUUUGUGUGGGUAGAGUUCCUUUAAUGUAAAAGAGGGGUUGUUUGCCCUGCCUUUUAUUUUAUUAGCUCCAAAUCACAUAAAACGCAAAAAUUGAAACAGAGAUUUGGUGCUAAGAUCAUUUCUCUAAAGGGUAACAGCCCUAAAUGCUCUUUAAGGUCCUUAAGCACGUAGCUAAAAUAAUUUGAUAUUCGACAUAGCUUUAAAGUAGGCUUGGAAUCAGCCACCUUUUAUGAACGCGUAAUAGUGCAAAAUCGUAAAUAUUAAAAAUUUUUAAUGUUUUGGGUUUUUUGGCGCCGAAAAGGCAUAUUAUCAACAAAAAAAUAAUGGUAGUGGAGUGUUCUGUAAAAAUACAUUUUUUAAGAUUGUAAACAAUUAAAUUACAUAAUCAGAAGAAAAAAUACAGGAAUGAGUAACAUGUUUUUUUAUCGAAUUAAAAACGCCGUAAACGCUUGGUUUCCUUUUUUUUGAUAAAAAGGGUUAAGCAAGUUCUAAAAAAAGCCCGAACGGGUGAGCUUGAUGAAGUUAAAAAAAGUUUGGUUUAGAAGUAGUAAUUAGUUUGUGCAGCUAGUUCGUUGGCUCGCGCUAUUUUCAGCUAAAACUCUUUUCUGGAAAUACCAACCUUUUUUAUGAUUGUACUAAAACCAACACCGGUUUGUUUGUUUUCUUCAAUGAAGGCGUUUGGGUUAAUUUUUGUAAAGGAAUUCGGCAAAUUUACUCUGUACUUUCGAAAUAAGGAGGUUUGUGCAAGUGUUUUGCAUAAAAUUGUAAAAAGAGAAGAGCGACUGUUUAUCAACAACACAGGACUUUGCAAAGGAGAAAUCUUUAGUAUAAAGUUCGAAACCUGCCCAUUACUUGUAACAAAAAAUACAAAGUUUUUUGCUUUUUUUUAAUGUCUCGUAAAUGGCGGCGAUAACCCUGAUCGUCCUAAGGUAGCGAAAUUCCUUGUCGGCUAAUUACCGACCCGCAUGAAUGGUGUAACGACUCUUCUGCUGUCUUUACAAAACACCCAGUGAAAUUGAAAUUUUUGUGAAGAUGCAAAAAUUUUUUAGAAAGACGGGAAGACCCUUUGAACCUUUACAACAAAUAUUCCUUGAAAAAAACAAUUAGUCUGUUUAGAAUAGGCAGAGGUUUAAUAUCAAUAAUGAAAUACUGCCCUACUAAUCUUGUUUUUUUCUAAUCUUUUUAGGGAGACAUGGCAUGUUUGGUUGUUUUGCUGGGGCGGUAUCCUCUCAAAAAGUAUCGGAGGUGUUUAUAAAGUAAAAAAGAAAAAAAAAGAACUUUUUUUUAAGUACAAGGAUUAUCUUUUUGCUUGAUGAUAAAAACGGUAGUUUAAGUCAGGACGAAAGUCUAACCUAUUGAUCCAACGUUAUUUAGAGGAAAAGUCGUUGCUAUCAGAUUACAAGGUACUCUAGGGAUAACAGGCUAAUUCUACCAAAAAGUUCUUAUUAACGGUAGUGCUUGGCACCUCGAUGUCGACUCAUCUCGUCCUGGAGCUGCAGGCGGUUCCAAGGGUUUGGUUGUUCGCCAAAAAAAGAGGUACGUGAGUUGGGUUCAGAACGUCGUAAGACAGUUUGGCUCCUAUCUCCUAAAAAUGUAAGGUAACUAACUUAGAGUUGAAGUAAUAGAUCUUGUGUACGAAAGGAUCAAGGUGUAAUGACCGCUGGUAAAUCCGUUGUUUUAUAAACACGCGUUGAAUUGCUAAGUCGUAUACAGCUAACAAUUGAAAACAACAAUAUUGGAAGCUUUUACUAAAAAAAACUC